rnacentral:lncRNA from 1 species
AUUCUUCCUCAUUUAGUGCAAUUUUUCCCUUUUAAAAAGAGACAAGUAUUGAGAUUAAUAAAUAGGUUUAAAUUACAUGUACAUAGAAACAGAGUUUCCACAGCUCACAAGUAACAUUUAAUGCACAAAAAUGGCAUGGUGCGCGCGCACAUCCAAGUAAUUAGCAAUUAAAUGCAGAUUCCAAAAUUUUCAUGUACACACAAAGUAUAACAAAGAGAAAUGAACACUACUGAACACAGAUAGAGGCUAAUGUGUAGGUUAUACAGAGAAAUGAACACAGCUAGAGGCUAAUGUGUAGGUGAUACAGAGAAAUGAACACUUAUGAACACAGUUAGAGGCUAAUGUGUAGAUUAUACAGAGAAAUGAACACUACUGAACACAGAUAGAGGCUAAUGUGUAGGUUAUACAGAGAAAUGAACACUAAUUAACACAGUUAGAGGCUAAUGUGUAGAUUAUACAGAGAAAUGAACACUACUUAACACAGAUAGAGGCUAAUGUGUAGGUUAUACAGAGAAAUGAACACUAAUUAACACAGCUAGAGGCUAAUGUGUAGAUUAUACAGAGAAAUGAACACUACUGAACACAGAUAGAGGCUAAUGUGUAGGGUAUACAGAGAAAUGAACACUAAUGAACACAGCUAGAGGCUAAUGUGUAGAUUAUACAGAGAAAUGAACACUAAUGAACACAGUUAGAGGCUAAUGGGUAGAUUAUACAGAGAAAUGAACACUAAUGAACACAGUUAGAGGCUAAUGUGUAGGUUAUACAGAGAAAUGAACACUAAUUAACACAGCUAGAGGCUAAUGUGUAGGUUAUACAGAGAAAUUAACACAGCUAGAGGCUAAUGUGUAGAUUAUACAGAGAAAUGAACACUACUGAACACAGAUAGAGGCUAAUGAGUAGGUUAUACAGAGAAAUGAACACAGCUAGAGGCUAAUGUGGAGGUUAUACAGAGAAAUGAACACUAAUGAACACAUCUAGAGGCUAAUGUGUAGGUUAUACAGAGAAAUGAACACAGCUAGAGGCUAAUGUGUAGGUUAUGUAGUCAAAUUCAGUUAAUGCAAAUACAUCAAAUGAAACAUUUGGUAAGGAUUGUCAAUAUAAUGUCCAAAUUGAUCAGAUCUAGAAUCGUGGUGGCAACAAAACCUCGACUGUACACAAAUGAACAAUAUAUGGUUGUAAAAUGCACUUCUUAUCAUUCCGAUUCCAUAAAUCAUGAUUGUUGCUUCAUACGUCCAAGUACAUUUUUGGUGAGGAUGGAAAAAAA